GUGUUUGUAGAAAGGAGAGAUGGUGUUGGCAUCUCCCCAAACAGGGAUUGGAACAGCCUUCGGGCUUUGCCUGUUACCGGACUUUUGAGUAAAAAGAGUGACUUGGGUUUAAGACUAAAAAAAUUAAAAAAAUGGAAUUUACAAUUUUUU
rfam:Nicotiana sylvestris Nsyl_contig110906, whole genome shotgun sequence.